GGUCUUGUGGCCCAAUGGGUAAGGCGCCUGACUACGAAUCAGGAGAUUGCAUGUUCGAGCUCUGCCGGGAUCU
rnacentral:tRNA from 1 species